rnacentral:rRNA from 1 species
UACAGGGGUCUCAAGCGUUGUUCGGAUUCAUUGGGCGUAAAGGGUGCGUAGGCGGCGCGGUAAGUCGGGUGUGAAAUCUCGGAGCUUAACUCCGAAACUGCAUUCGAUACUGCCGUGCUUGAGGACUGGAGAGGAGACUGGAAUUUACGGUGUAGCGGUGAAAUGCGUAGAUAUCGUAAGGAAGACCAGUGGCGAAGGCGGGUCUCUGGGCCGUAACUGACGCUGAGGAGCGAAAGCGUGGGGAGCGAACAGG